GGGCCUAUAGCUCAGCUGGCUAGAGCGCUCGACUGAUAAUCCUAGAGGUCUCAGGUUCAAGUCCUGAUAGGCCCACCA
rnacentral:tRNA from 1 species